GCACUGAGACAUUGUCAACAGAAGGGUUUUUUUUUUCUUUUCCAGGUCAGUCCAUUUCGUUCGAUGAUAGAACAGUACUGUGUUUUGCGACUAACAGUAUAAUCUCACAGAGGGAGAACAUGCUAUUGAGAGUUCAGACCCGAGUCCUGAUGCUUCAAUACAUGCAAAGGACCAUACUGUUUUUCCGUGAUGCUGAGGCCUUCUGGAGUAGUCCACCAUCUGCAAGACUGCUAACAGAUCAACUGCUUUUGAAGCCCAGGAAAAAAAGAACUUGGACAAACAAGACUCCAACCAUUUUGAUCUACUACAAUCUGAAU
rnacentral:lncRNA from 1 species